GACGAACGCUGGCGGCGUGCUUAACACAUGCAAGUCGAACGGAAAGGCCCUGCUUGCAGGGUGCUCGAGUGGCGAACGGGUGAGUAACACGUGGGUGAUCUGCCCCUUACUUUGGGAUAAGCCUGGGAAACUGGGUCUAAUACUGGAUAGGACCAUGCUGUAGGUGGUGUGGUGGAAAGAUUAGUUUCGGUAAGGGAUGAGCUCGCGGCCUAUCAGCUUGUUGGUGGGGUAAUGGCCUACCAAGGCGUCGACGGGUAGCCGGCCUGAGAGGGUGGACGGCCACAUUGGGACUGAGGAACGGCCCAGACUCCUUCGGGGGGCAGCAAGGGGGAAUAAUGGCCAAUGGGCGCAAGCCUGAUGCAGCGACGCCGCGUGGGGGAUGACGGCCUUCGGGUUGUAAACUCCUUUCAGCCAUGACGAAGCCCUUGUGGUGACGGUAGUGGUAGAAGAAGCACCGGCUAACUACGUG
rnacentral:rRNA from 1 species